UACAGAGGGUGCGAGCGUUGUCCGGAAUCACUGGGCGUAAAGGGCGCGUAGGCGGUCUCUUAAGCGUGUGGUGAAAGCCCGGGGCUCAGCUCCGGGUCGGCCGUGCGAACUGGGGGACUGGAGCUUGUCAGAGGCAGGCGGAAUUCCGGGUGUAGCGGUGGAAUGCGUAGAGAUCCGGAAGAACACCGGUGGCGAAGGCGGCCUGCUGGGACAGUGCUGACGCUGAGGCGCGACAGCGUGGGGAGCAAACAGG
rnacentral:rRNA from 1 species